AUACGGAGGGUGCAAGCGUUAAUCGGAAUUACUGGGCGUAAAGCGUACGUAGGCGGUUCGUUAAGUUAGAUGUGAAAGCCCCGGGCUUAACCUGGGAACUGCAUUUAAAACUGGCGGACUAGAGUUGAGUAGAGGGGAGUGGAAUUUCAGGUGUAGCGGUGAAAUGCGUAGAGAUCUGAAGGAACACCAGUGGCGAAGGCGACUCCCUGGACUCGAACUGACGCUGAGGUACGAAAGCGUGGGUAGCAAACAGGAUUAGAAACCCGGGUAGUCC
rnacentral:rRNA from 1 species